rnacentral:lncRNA from 13 species
UCAUAUGGUAAUUCUAUUUUUAAUUUUUUUGGUGAAACUGCCAUACUGUUUUUCAUACUAUUUUACAUUUCUACUAAGUUUCUCCACAUCCUAACGGACAUUUGUUAUUGUUUGAUUUUGGUAGUAGCCAUCAUAAUGAAGUUCAGCAGGUUAGUCCCGACAUCAAGGCAAUGUCAAGAGUGAAAGGGAAGAUCAAGGCUUUUUUUGAGUGAUUGUUUCCUGGAAGCACAACAUAUAAAUUCUCCAGUUAACAUAAAAACAAUAUGAAGAAGGAAAAAGCCUUUAAAUACGUGAGGGCUG